GGGGGUGUACCUCAGUCGGUAGAGUGUUUGCCUAGCAUGCUGAGGCCCUGGGUUCAGUCCCCAGCACUGCCC
rnacentral:tRNA from 1 species